rnacentral:rRNA from 1 species
GAUGAACGCUGACAGAAUGCUUAACACAUGCAAGUCGAUUCAAUUUACCUUCGGGUAAUGAGGAUGGCGGACGGGUGAGUAACGCGUAAGGAACUUGCCCCUUGGUCUGGGACAACUGUUGGAAACGAUAGCUAAUACCGGAUAUUAUGAGAUUCGCACCUGGGAAACUUAUGAAAGCUAUAUGCGCCAAGAGAGAGCCUUGCGUUCCAUUAGCUAGUUGGUCGGGUAACGGCCCACCAAGGCGACGAUGGAUAGCCGGCCUGAGAGGGUGAACGGCCACAAGGGGACUGAGACACGGCCCUUACUCCGACGGGAGGCAGCAGUGGGGAAUAUUGGACAAUGGGCCACAAGCCUGAUCCAGCAAUUCUGUGUGCACGAUGAAGGUCUUCGGAUUGUAAAGUGCUUUCAGUUGGGAAGAAGAAAGUGACGGUACCAACAGAAGAAGCGACGGCUAAAUACGUGCCAGCAGCCGCAGUAA